rnacentral:rRNA from 1 species
GACGAACGCUGGCGGCGUGCCUAAUACAUGCAAGUCGAACGCUUUACUUUUCACCGGAGCUUGCUCUACCGAAAAGUAAAGAGUGGCGGACGGGUGAGUAACACGUGGGCAACCUGCCCAACAGAGGGGGAUAACACUUGGAAACAGGUGCUAAUACCGCAUAACUUGUUUUCCCGCAUGGGAGAAUAAUAAAAGACGCCUUACGGUGUCACUGUUGGAUGGGCCCGCGCUGCAUUAGUUAGUUGGU